UACAGUUAACUCUGCUCCUCUUUCCACAGCAGACUUUCUCUGUUAGAAGAGGAUUAAAAUGCGCUGGGCCUGACAAUGAAACAGCAGAGCCAUCGCACAUUGUUAUGCAACUCACUAUCUGCAAGGGUGGCUCGUAGCUCCUUCUUUAUUCAGCGAGUGCCAAGUGCAUGUUUAAUCAAUGUCACAGCUCACCACAGCGCUCAGCUAAAGCCGCUGUCAUUCCUCUCUUCAGACCUGCCUGCCUAAGUUAUGCAAUGCUCCGAAGGAUACCUCGCAAUUCUUUCCGGAGGCUCUGAAUGCAGGUGUGUGACGGCGCUCACACUACUGCCAGCAAAGCUGACUUCUUUCCAUCCCUUUGCAGGCUGGACUAAAAUUACAUAGCGUGGCUGCACGUAGUUCGCUGCCUUUGGAAUGACAGCGUGUCAACGGGAGGAAGCCUCUUCAGACAGCUGCCACCGAGAGUAAAUCAAAGGCUGGGCUUUUUCUGAAGUCUUAAUAACUAACUAAGUCUCAGUGAAUAAAAGCAGGAGCUGUUUGUGUUGGUGUCGGUAAAAGGCAGCACCGAACGGAAUGCAUCUCGGUGCUCUGCAUCAUCUAAGGGAAAAAAAGCCUCGCUUUUCGUGACAAUUAGACAACGCUGAGGAUCGUCACCAGAAAGGGCUUUACUGGGUUUUGGCUACAUUUGCUUUAAUGGAUUACUGAGAAAGAAGAUUCUGUUAUUAUCCUCCCUGAUAAACUUCUUCAUCGAGGAACUGUCCAUGCUCCUGUCUGGUCUGUCUGAGCGAGGAGAGCAGCCCCUUCAUGAAGAUAAAAGCCUGGCUUGCCCCUGAAUCGACAAGUAAGAAGCAUGUCUGAUGACAUUUUAUUCCUGAUGCAAUGUAGGCUAGCUGCCAGAAUACUGGUGAAGGUAUUUGCAGGAAAAAUGGGGACCUCAGCCAUUACAACACUGGAAGAUGUAAAAAGGCAAGAGGAAAAGGAGGAAAAAGAAGAGUCUAUUUUAGCACUGCUUGGCAUUAUUGGAACUGUGCUCAACUUAUUUGUUAUUGUUUUUGUGUACAUCUACACUACACUUUGAUGACAUUUUUGAACAUCAAUUGCACAGCACACAGUGCAAAGACCAGCGAUGGUAAGAAUGAUUUCCAGACAUUUAAAGCAAAAAGCCCUCUGGUCUGAAAAGACCAUCAAAAACAUUCCAGAGCAAGGUGUCUAGCUAAGGGUGAUGACUGCUAAAUGUAUCUGUGAGCCCAGAGUGCUAAAUUAUGUAAAAUAAGGCAGACUACAUUCAACUUCUUAUUGAUGUGGGAUGAAUUCCAAAUAGCAGAAACAGAGGCACUGUUUUAGUGCCAUCAAACAUGCAAAGCACAAGGAAUGUAAGCAAACACUGGAAACAAUCAGAAUACAGAAAGAGAUGAAAUACAUAUAAGCAAGCCCCAUGAUGCUUUCCAUGGUUUUGUGCAAUAUCUCCCCUCAUAGUUGAGGUCAGAAAACAGGCUUUCAUUUUUAGAUCACUCUAAUUUAGGCUUAUAAUUUACACUAAUGUAUAAGUGUGCAAACAGGAACACUAUUAUACCAAAAACUGUAGUGUUUAAAGACAAUUUUAACUAUUGACUCUAUUCUGCAGCAUUUUCUUAGUCUUGUGGGAAGCUGAAAAAGGCUAGGUGUUAUGGCCUUUACUGAAUGUGUAUUUGAAACCAUGCUAUAUUGACCAUGUACUUUUCUAAUUAAAAAUCCUUUCAAGUGGUGUGAAAAAAGAAGUUCCAGUACUUUUUAAAAUGGAAUAACUACAAAUUACACAGUAAUAUUCUGCAAAAGGAAAAAAAUGUUAUAUUUUCUAUAUAGCCAUUUUUAGAAUCUGUUUAAAAUACAUCAAAUAACAGCUUUUGUGUAUUCAUUCUGAUGCUUAUUUUCAAGUAUAAUAAAGCUUAUCACAUAAGGAUUCGUGGUCAUGCAAGGAAAACAGCCCAGAAAAGUGUAGUCUCUCUUUCUGGACCAGGUACCCUUUUUGUAUCACUGAUGAUUGAGGCCCAGAACUGCAAAUCUUAUGCACACUCCAUGGGAGAUUGUGUAGGAUGCAAAGAGGCUGCUGAAACUGAGGAAAUGAAUUUCCUAUUUUAAAUGAAACCUAUGUAUGCCUUUCCAUUAGAUCCACAGCUGCAGACAGUCUGAGAUGUGUAAGUUUUUGUAGUCAUGAUUACAUUUUGCAUGUAUCUUCUAACAGAAAAGCUACUUUUGAGAAUUAGAGAGAGUGUAAAAACAACACUGGAAAAAAAAAGCAACACUGGAUUUAAUAAAUAUCUUUCUUGGAAUUACAUGUGCCACAGAGGAACAAUGGAGAGGUUGCAUUUCUGAAGAACCAGCUGAGUUCCUUCUCCUAGGCUGCAAUAUACAGUCCUUCCAUAAAAAAGACAAGUAAAGAAGUAUAUCUUUUGUGUAGGUGAUAGAUUAUUACUGUACACAACUUUGUAGCUGCUAAACCAACUGAGCCUUUUGAAGUCACAUCAAAACAAUUCCAUUUGUAACUCAGGUCAGGGAUCUAGAACAGAAUGAAUCUGGCAAAGAUAUUUCAAUCAGUUGUAGAAACUAUGGUGUAACACUGAUAUAUGGACAAAUGAGGUGGAAGAGGGCAUAUUCUGGUUUUACAACUCUGAGUCAACACUGGCUCCAUCAGAAGAAAUGAUAAUCAGAGGUGAGGCUGCACUGGAAGCAAGCAUUUGCAAAAAGAAAGUGAAUUCACUAUCCAUAGCCUACAGCAAGUCUCUAGAUUGUGUACUCAUUUUCAGUAUAUGGAGCACCAAAGCAUUCUGUGUAACUAAGCUACAUUCUAAAAGAAUUAUGCAGGUUAUCCAAGUUUAUUUAAGACUACAGAAGGCAGCCAAUACACCAUUUUUUUUCCAAUAUACUACUUAUAUCUACAAAGUUAUGGAUAUCACUGGUGUUAAUAUGAGGACAUUUGAGAUGUCCUUAAAAUGAAAGAUUAUGAAAACCUGAAAAUUAAGCAGAAGUAUGAAAUUCAGGUAGAAAUUAGUGCUGCUUCUUUUGAUCCUUAGGUUAUUACAGAAAGUGUCAAUUCUGUGAAAAAAUAAAGAGUUUUAUUUAAUGUUA